rfam:Vigna angularis cultivar Jingnong 6 chromosome 3, whole genome shotgun sequence.
CCGACCUUAGCUCAGUUGGUAGAGCGGAGGAUUGUAGUGGGUUAUUCCAGCUGAAAUCCUUAGGUCGCUGGUUCGAAUCCGGCAGGUCGGA